CGAGAUAUGGAUUUUUAUAUAAACUCAUAAUCCAUUUGCCUUUUGUACAUAAGUGAUGUGGGAUUCAUUCCCUUACUAACAAAGUAUUUAGUUCCCAAAUACUACUCACAAAAGUUAAACUUUUUACAAUAUAAACACUAACAAAAUAUAUUUUGCAAUAAGUUGGUGUUAAUAUUCAACACUCCCCUCAACACCAAUUUUCACCAUGCCAAACUGAUGAUAGAAGCUUUUGAGCUUGUUCCCACGCAAGCCUUUUGUAAAUAGGUCUGUAACUUGGUAUUUUAUCUUAACAUGUUCCAACUCCUUGUUUUUGUUCUCACGACCACCCUCAUCACUUUACUCAAUGAAAUGUUUCCUCUUGGUCCCAUCCUUGUUGAUGCCUCCAUGGCUUGACUCGUGGUACUUCGCUCCCACUUGCAUUGGCUCGACCGGCUCCUCUCAUCACAAUUGAAUAGCACCCAACCUCUAUGGCUUCUCCUAGUGCUCACCCUUAGUUUUUUUUAUUCCUUAUAAGACAUUACUAUAGUUGAUAACCUCUCUCACAUUGAGCACUCUCUGACCUAGUGUGAUCCAUCACACAAUAAACAACUCAAGGGUCUCCAUUCAUGCUUUCUCAUAGUUUUCAUAGUAUUGCGCUUCUUUUGGCAUGACGUUUUCUCAUCUUCAUUCAAGGAAUUUUGCCUUUGGAUUAUUUCGAUGCUCCCCUACUCAAUCUUGAGCUCUGACACUCAGGGGACUCAAAUUAAGCCUUCUUGAGUUCCAUUAAAGACUCAACCACCACCAUUGCUCAUGUCAUUUCUUGGACACCUCAACGUUGCAACUCAAGACUUUCUUGUGGCUUGUUUGACUUGUUGUUGAUACCCACAACAUCCUAAUAUGUCCUUCUUCCCCUUAAAAAUUUUCCCACAUCCUUGGCAUCUCUCGAACCCCUGAAUUCCUUGGGCUUUGAGAUGUCCUAACAAUGAAUUGAGGUAAUAAGUACACCCCUUGUGGUUUUAAGUCUCAAUAGCUCCCUUUUAAGCUCAACGAUCUCAUUGUGCAUGGCUUUCACCAAGGCUAGAAGGGCUUUGCUCUUAUAAGCCAAAUCGCUUAUCAUUGCACUAAGGGUCCUUUGGAGUUGUCUCGUUAGUUGUUCGUCAAGUGUUGCAUGAGACUCUUCACUGCCCAUCUCUAGCCUAUCCAUGUGACUCUCUAUGCUCUCCACUCAAUCAAGGACAUUCACCAUGGCUUGUUACACCUUCACAAGCCUAUUCUCCAUAGAUUCGCCAUAUCCUUUGAGCUUCUUCUUAAGGUUCCCUUUUUGCCCCUUUUCAUAGCACCUUGGUUCUCUACCAUGCUUUCCUCUUCAACAACAAAUAAUGCCUCUAGGUCCCAAUCUUCUUCACUAUUGGUAGUAACCGCAUUACUCCC
rnacentral:lncRNA from 1 species